rnacentral:tRNA from 1 species
GGAGAGGGUAUAGCUCAGUGGUAGAGUGUGUGCUUGGCAUGCACGAGGUCCUGGGUUCAAUCCCCAGUACUUCCA